rnacentral:snRNA from 1 species
ACCGGAUGGACCCAUCAUAAGCUGAAUUCGUUUAGCCGCAUAAAUCUUUCGUCUUUUACUAAAGAUUUCCGUGGAGGGGAACUUUUUGCGAGUUACCUGUAUUUUUGGAGACAUUUCUUUUGGUUUG